GGAGGCGAACCCGCUGAACUGAAACAUCUAAGUAGGCGGAGGAGAAGAAAACAAAAGUGAUUCCGUAAGUAGUGGCGAGCGAACGCGGAAUAGCCCAAACCAAAGUUGUUACGGCAAUUUUGGGGUUGUAGGACCACGACAUUUCUUGCGGAUUUAAUUAGAAUUACCUGGAAAGGUAAACCGAAGAGGGUGAUAGUCCCGUAUUGGUAAGAGAAGAUAAGAAUAGUGGUAUCCUGAGUAGGUCGGGGCACGUGAAACCUUGAUUGAAACUGGCGGGACCAUCCGCUAAGGCUAAAUACUCCUGAGAGACCGAUAGUGAACCAGUACCGUGAGGGAAAGGUGAAAAGAACCGUGAAUAACGGAGUGAAACAGAUCCUGAAACCAUACGCCUACAAGCGGUCGGAGCCCCUUAGUGGGGUGACGGCGUGCCUUUUGCAUAAUGAGCCUACGAGUUACCGUUGCUGGCAAGGAUAAGUGAUUAAGUCAUGGAUCCGUAGCGAAAGCGAGUCUUAAUAGGGCGCUUAAGUCAGUAGUGGUAGACGCGAAACCGUGUGAUCUACCCAUGGGCAGGUUGAAGUUUAGGUAACACUAAAUGGAGGACCGAACCGUUUAACGCUGAAAAGUUUUCGGAUGACCUGUGGGUAGGGGUGAAAGGCCAAUCAAACUCGGAAAUAGCUCGUACUCCCCGAAAUGCAUUUAGGUGCAGCGAUGAUCGAUAGUUACUUAGAGGUAGAGCUACUGAUUGGAUGCGGGGGCUUCACCGCCUACCAAUUCCUGACAAACUCCGAAUGCUAAGUAAUGAUAGUCAUCAGUGAGGGCAUGGGUGCUAAGGUCCAUGUCCGAGAGGGAAAGAACCCAGACCAUCAGCUAAGGUCCCCAAAUGUAUGCUAAGUUGAAAAAACGCGGUUUGAUUGCCCAGACAGCUAGGAUGUUGGCUUGGAAGCAGCCAUUCAUUUAAAGAGUGCGUAACAGCUCACUAGUCGAGCGAUCGAGCAUGGAUAAUAAUCGGGCAUAAGUAUACUACCGAAGCUAUGGAUUUGCGCAUUUAGUUGCGUGAGUGGUAGGGGAGCAUUCUAACGGCGCAGAAGGUGAUUUGUGAGAAUUGCUGGAGCUUUUAGAAAAGAAAAUGUAGGCAUAAGUAACGAUAAGGGGUGCGAGAAACACCCCCGCCGUAAGACUAAGGUUUCCUCAGCUAUGCUAAUCAGCUGAGGGUUAGUCGGGACCUAAGGCACACCCGAAGGGGGACGUCGAUGGCCAACGGGUUAAUAUUCCCGUACUACUGAUAAUUGUGAUGGAGUGACACAGUGAUGAAAGCACCGCGAACUGACGGAAUAGUUCGUUGAAGCACGUACCUAUAGGUUUGAUAGUAAAAUGCGUCAGACUUGGAGAAAUGCGAUAGUACUUUGAGUCUUCGGACAACGAGAUAGUGUGCCUAAGGGCUGUCAAGAAAAGCUUCUAAACUUAGAUUAUUAGUACCCGUACCGUAAACCGACACAGGUAGUCGAGGAGAGUAUCCUAAGGCGCUCGAGAGAUUCAUGGCUAAGGAACUAGGCAAAAUAGACCUGUAACUUCGGGAGAAAGGUCGCCAGCGCAAGCUGGCCGCAGUGAAAAGGUCCAGGCGACUGUUUAUCAAAAACACAGGGCUCUGCAAAAUCGUAAGAUGACGUAUAGGGCCUGACACCUGCCCGGUGCUGGAAGGUUAAGAGGAGAUGUUAUCUUCGGAGAAGCAUUGAAUUGAAGCCCCAGUAAACGGCGGCCGUAACUAUAACGGUCCUAAGGUAGCGAAAUUCCUUGUCGG
rnacentral:rRNA from 1 species